rnacentral:rRNA from 1 species
GACGAACGCUGGCGGCACGCCUAGCACAUGCAAGUCGAACGCAGUAGCAAUACUGAGUGGCAGACGGGUGAGUAACAUGUGGGAAUCUGCCUUGUGGUUCAGGACAACAUUGGGAAACCGAUGCUAAUACUGGAUAAGCCCUUACGGGGACAGUUUUAAUGCCAUACGAUGAGCCCGCAUUUGAUUAGUUAGUUGGUGAGGUAAUGGCUCACCAAGACAAUGAUCAAUAGCUGAUCUGAGAGGAUGAUCAGCCACACUGGGACUGAGACACGGCCCAGACUCCUACGGGAGGCAGGAGUGGGGAAUCUUGCACAAUGGAGGAAACUCUGAUGCAGCGAUGCCGCGUGAGUGAAGAAGGCCUUUGGGUUGUAAAGCUCUUUUGUAGGGGAAGAUAAUGACUGUACCCUAAGAAUAAGGUCCGGCUAACUUCGUGCCAGCAGCCGCAGUAA